UUGCCGGCGACCGGCGACGGGUGCGUAACGCGUAUGUAACCUACCUUUGACAGGGGGAUAACAUCGAGAAAUUGGUACUAAUACCCCAUAACAUCACCGGAGGCAUCUUCGGUGGUUGAAAACUCAGGUGGUCAGAGAUGGACAUGCGUUGUAUUAGCUAGUUGGUGAGGUAACGGCUCACCAAGGCGACGAUACAUAGGGGGACUGAGAGGUCAACCCCCCACAUUGGUACUGAGACACGGACCAAACUCCUACGGGAGGCAGCAG
rnacentral:rRNA from 1 species